UACGGAGGAUCCGAGCGUUAUCCGGAUUUAUUGGGUUUAAAGGGAGCGUAGGCGGGUUGUUAAGUCAGUUGUGAAAGUUUGCGGCUCAACCGUAAAAUUGCAGUUGAUACUGGCAUCCUUGAGUACAGUAGAGGUAGGCGGAACUCGUGGUGUAGCGGUGAAAUGCUUAGAUAUCACGAAGAACUCCGAUUGCGAAGGCAGCCUGCUGGACUGUAACUGACGCUGAUGCUCGAAAGUGUGGGUAUCAAACAGG
rnacentral:rRNA from 1 species